rnacentral:rRNA from 1 species
GACGAACGCUGGCGGCGUGCUUAACACAUGCAAGUCGAACGGAAAGGCCCUGCUUUUGUGGGGUGCUCGAGUGGCGAACGGGUGAGUAACACGUGAGUAACCUGCCCUUGACUUUGGGAUAACUUCAGGAAACUGGGGCUAAUACCGGAUAGGAGCUCCUGCUGCAUGGUGGGGGUUGGAAAGUUUCGGCGGUUGGGUAUGGACUCGCGGCUUAUCAGCUUGUUGGUGGGGUAGUGGCUUACCAAGGCUUUGACGGGUAGCCGGCCUGAGAGGGUUACCGGCCACAUUGGGACUGAGAUACGGCCCAGACUCCUACGGGAGGCAGCAGGGGGGAAUAUUGCACAAUGGGCGGAAGCCUGAUGCAGCAACGCCGCGUGCGGGAUGACGGCCUUCGGGUUGUAAACCGCUUUCGCCUGUGACGAAGAGUGAGUGACGGUAAUGGGUAAAGAAGCACCGGCUAACUACGUG